GGAGCUGACAGAUACUAAUCGAUCGAGGACUUAACCAUAUUUUUGAAUGAUGUCACACCUGUUAUCUAGUUUUGAGAGAACACUCUCAAUUUGUUUGGUGGCGAUAGCGAAGAGGUCACACCCGUUCCCAUACCGAACACGGAAGUUAAGCUCUUCAGCGCCGAUGGUAGUCGGGGGKUUCCCCCUGUGAGAGUAGGACGCCGCCAAGC
rnacentral:rRNA from 1 species